rnacentral:lncRNA from 1 species
GCGAGCUCGCGCUGGAGCUCUUCUCGCGUCUUGGCGAUGGCGUCGUCGCCGCCUUCCAGCCCAAUGCGAGGACUUUCCUGGCGGCUCUCGUGGCGUGCUCGAGCCUGGCAGCCAAGGAAGAUGGUCAGUGGAUCGGUGGGAAGAUCGUUAAGUUGAAGUACCUGGAGAGAGCAAUGGAGAUCCACGCCCGAGCUAGCCGGUGCUGCGACGACACGGAUGUUUUCGUUGCCAAUGCUCUCGUCGACUUGUACGCCAAG